rnacentral:rRNA from 1 species
UGGGGAAUAUUGCACAAUGGGCGCAAGCCUGAUGCAGCCAUGCCGCGUGUAUGAAGAAGGCCUUCGGGUUGUAAAGUACUUUCAGCGGGGAGGAAGGGAGUAAAGUUAAUACCUUUGCUCAUUGACGUUACCCGCAGAAGAAGCACCGGCUAACUCCGUGCCAGCAGCCGCGGUAAUACGGAGGGUGCAAGCGUUAAUCGGAAUUACUGGGCGUAAAGCGCACGCAGGCGGUUUGUUAAGUCAGAUGUGAAAUCCCCGGGCUCAACCUGGGAACUGCAUCUGAUACUGGCAAGCUUGAGUAUCGUAGAGGGGGGUAGAAUUCCAGGUGUGGCGGUGAAAUGCGUAGAGAUCUGGAGGAAUACCGGUGGCGAAGGCGGCCCCCUGGACGAAGACUGACGCUCAGGUGCGAAAGCGUGGGGAGCAAACAGG